rnacentral:lncRNA from 1 species
CUCGAGAUGGGUUCUCUUAAACAAGAGGAAAUUGAGACUAGUAAGUAGUGUGUGGGUCACAGAACAGUGCUAGUAGCCUUCAAGAACAGGAGAGGAUUCUGCAAUUGGGAGGGGCUUGGCAUGGAGUGACCAGCCAUGUACCUGCGUACUGCGGGGAUUUUUGUGCUGGAAGACGAGAGGACCGUGGGGGUCGUUCUAUUCUGACCAUGUCCCACUACCUCUAGAAAGGUGGAACUCCUGGCUCGGGAUCUGCUUUAGGACGAGGACACUCCGAGGAAGGGAAGAAAAGGACGACGUUGUGUGUCUGAACAAAGUGUGCCUGCUGAAGAUGGAGCCCCGGUGGAUGUGUGCAAACUGAUCACUCAGAAACGAGGUACUGCUUUUUUAUAUUAGAAUAUUCCAUUAAUUAUGUGAGGGCCUAUCAUGGUCACUUUUUACAAAAGAUGCCCAAAUUGGUGCACAGUAGGCUCUAGCGGCGAGAGUGUCUGCAAGGCACUGGACGGCUCAGUGGCGCCUGGAAGGAUAAGGACAUCUCAAAUGCAUCAAAGAC